rnacentral:rRNA from 1 species
UGGGGAAUUUUGGACAAUGGGCGAAAGCCUGAUCCAGCAAUGCCGCGUGUGUGAAGAAGGCCUUCGGGUUGUAAAGCACUUUUGUCCGGAAAGAAAUCCUUGGCUCUAAUACAGUCGGGGGAUGACGGUACCGGAAGAAUAAGCACCGGCUAACUACGUGCCAGCAGCCGCGGUAAUACGUAGGGUGCAAGCGUUAAUCGGAAUUACUGGGCGUAAAGCGUGCGCAGGCGGUUUGCUAAGACCGAUGUGAAAUCCCCGGGCUCAACCUGGGAACUGCAUUGGUGACUGGCAGGCUAGAGUAUGGCAGAGGGGGGUAGAAUUCCACGUGUAGCAGUGAAAUGCGUAGAGAUGUGGAGGAAUACCGAUGGCGAAGGCAGCCCCCUGGGCCAAUACUGACGCUCAUGCACGAAAGCGUGGGGAGCAAACAGGAUUAGAUACCCUGGUAGUCCACGCCCUAAACGAUGUCAACUAGUUGUUGGGGAUUCAUUUCCUAGUAACGUAGCUAACGCGUGAAGUUGACCGCCUGGGGAGUACGGUCGCAAGAUUAAAACUUAAAUGAAUUG